rnacentral:antisense_RNA from 1 species
UCCAAUGGUGGGCUGUUUGAGGGGAUCGCAAGAUCCGCUGUUUCCUUUAGAGCAGUACGCCAACCUUGAACAGUUCACCACCAAC